ACGGAAUUUAUCUUUAAGUGCAAGGUUAAUAGAAAUACACUCUAUUAGCCUUGCACUUAAAAAUAAAUUUC
rnacentral:pre_miRNA from 1 species